AACGUAGGUGGCGAGCGUUAUCCGGAUUUACUGGGCGUAAAGCGUGUGCAGGCGGGGGUACAAGUGGUGUAUGAAAUCGCCCGGCUUAACCGGGCAGGGUUAUGCCAGACUGUACCUCUGGAGUGCGAGAGAGGGGGCGUGGAAUUCCGGGUGUAGUGGUGAAAAUGCGUAGAGAUCCGGAGGAACCCCCAGAGGCGAAAGGCGGCGCCUGGGCUC
rnacentral:rRNA from 1 species